GGGAGCUUGGGCAACCAAUGGGCAAAAUUUCUAAUUUCUAAUUUUAGUUUAGAAAACAGCCUGCCUGAUUCACUCUUUUGCUUUUAAGCCCUUUGGAUAAAAGAGAACAUUUCUAGAUCCAUAGGCUUAAAACUUGAACACCACAUGGUUAAAUCUAGGGCAGUGGUUCCCUAAGUUUGGUCCUCCAGGUGUUUUGGACUUCAGUUUCCAGAAGCCCCAGCCAGCUUGGCUAACAGUAUGGAAUUCUGGGAGCUGAAACUUCCAAAACAUCUGGAGGACCAAACUUUGGGAACUACCGAUCUAGGGGAUGCUACUAAACACUGCCAUCCAUUUUGAGAAUGUUGGCAUGAGAGUGUUCUCAAUUGCCACCUUGGAUACAACUCACUUCUGUUUUCUGACUGCAAUGGAAGAAGGUGGGAGCGGAAACAUUUUGCUAAUUCAUUGAUUAAGGCUUCUGUUUGAAAAUUAUAGGUGCAAGCAUGUGGCAGAGGCUAUCUUGCAAAAUGCUACCCUUCUGCUACAAGGGAGGCCUUCUUUGGGGAUUCUGUUGAGCCACACAAACUCCAAGUACAAUUUAACUUCUUCCUGAGCAAGUGACAGAAGGAACAAUUGUCCAAGCUCUUCCCUUCAGCCAAGCUAUCAGCCAAGUUGUCAGCCUGCCUUGCUGUUCAAGGUAGAGGAAGGGGAAAGGCAUUAACAAAGUCUACAUUUCAGUGAAACAUACAGAUCAAAUAAGACAGCGAGAGUAGAUCUUUCUACUGAAGUCAAUGGCCUGAUAAAUGAAGUGUGAAGAGAACCUUUACUGAUAUUCCUCUCGGAGCCUGGAAACUUUACUUUAUCUGGACUCUUAAUUCCCAGAGAAGCCGUUUGGCCAUGCUAGCUGGGGAUUGUGCAAGUUCGGGGAUGGGCCAUAUGCGGACUGCUAGAGCCAUUUUUGUCCCCAAAUGCACCCCCAAUACACUCUAGGGAGAGCGUGGAGGUAUUUUCUCCAUGUUUUUGCUCCUCCGGACCAUUUUAGAUCCAUGAGAGGCCUUUUUGGAGUGACUUGCUGUCACUUCCCAUAGUUAAGGCCUUUUGGGGGAGAAAAAUUGUCCAGGAGUGCCUAAAAACAUGAAGAAAAUGCCCCCCUUAGAGGGGAUUUGGAGGCAAAAAUUGGUUUUUCUGACAGGGGAUGCAGUGGGGGAGCCCUCAGAUGCACUUUCUAAGGUCAAACGAGGGGCCAAUGUGUUCCCCAUCCUCCCACAAUUGACCAGCUUUGUUAUAAUUCAAUGAAAGAGCCUGUCCACAUGAAGCAAAUGACAACUCACGCACUAGUGGUGCAGCUUUUCUUCUGUCUGACAGUGCCUCUGGAAAAUGUCUGGUCGCUCCUGUUUCUCCAUCGGAGCCUUCCAUGAUGAUAUCCCGAAGCCUGCUCUUUCUGGUUAACGCCGGUGAGGGGGUUUUCGGUUCAGGAGACAGAGUGGGUAAAGGAACAUCUUCCACGUAGACUUGACCUGUGGGUGGUUCUGGUGGGAUUUUCUCAUCUUGCGAUGAGCUGGUGUCCUUUGCAGGUGACUUUUUCUGAAUAGUUGGGGGUCUGGCCAGAGGUUCACCUUUGGCUUCUUUUUUUGCUUUCCCAGAAUCUUUUUCAGACUCUUCUUUUUCAGAGCUUUUUUCUUCUGUUUUUUGUGACGGUGCGCCAGCUGGCAAUUGAGACGAGGGUCCAGCCAGAGGUUCAUCUUUGGCUUCUUUUUUGGCUGUCCCAGAAUCUUUCUCAAGCUCUUCUUUUUCUUUUUCUUUUUCAGAACUUUUUUUCUCAGUUUUUCGGGACGGUGCGCUAGCUCUGGCAAAGAGGUGCGCUCGCCUCUGAUUUCUGAGAGAUGUGAAGGGGACGGAAUCGGUCUCUUCUUGGAACUGAUAGACUGGCGGUGGUGAUGGUGAUGUGGGCACCAUUUUCUCUGAAGGCACUUGAGGCUUGCUGGUCUUGGCUGUGGGUGAAGUUUGCUGGUCUGUAGAGUAAGGAGAAGGGGGCUUAGGGGGUGUUGCUCCUGGAGCUUUUAUAGUUUUAGGGACAACUUCUUCCUGGCUUUUGGGGGGAUCUUCUGCAGUAACACUUUGCAAUGGUGCACCAGUGGAGGGAACUGGAGGCCUGGGGACCUGGGAUUUAACGGACGUAACGGUAGAAGGCCCCUCUUUGUGGAUGUCUUUGGCUGGUGACUCAGGAGCGCUCCCCUCACCAGACGGUUGAAUCGCAUGGUCUUUAGUUUCCGAUGACAUCUCCUGACUUUGAAAAUGAGUAGUCGACUGUUUUCGCGAAAGGGCCUCAGGAGGCUUUUCCUCUUUCUUUUCUGGUGGUAAGAUAAUAGAAACCGAUUUGCCAACUUGCACUUUUUCUUCUGAGGUUUUCAAAAUCCCUUUGGGUGGUUUGGAGGGCUCCUGAUCAUGGGCCCCAGGGGGUUGUUGGGAGGCUUUGAAUAUGGAAUAUAUUGACUUUGGCUCGGUUGUGUCGGGUGGCUGAGUCUGUCUGCCAUUUUUCUUAUUUGUGAGUUUUUGCUUGUUUUCUCUUUUUGGAGAGUCAGGGGAUAAUGAUGGAGGAACUGUGGUGACGACGCGUGAUGCGCCGACGUAGCGUGUUGUUCCUUCAGGUAAAACAGAUUCCUCAGAUCCCUUAGAUUCCUCAGAUGCCUCAGAUCGCUCAGAUUGCACAGUUUCAGAAUGAACGGAUUUCGUAGAUUCAUCGGUUUCUGAUUUGGGAGCCUUCUUCUUUUUGUUCAAACAUGGACAUGGACAUGAACACAGAGCUUUUAUUUUGUCUCGAAAGGAUGACUUUUCCCCCUUCUUUGAUGCAUCAGGGCCUUCUGCCUCUGAGGUGCUUUUAUACAACUUAGCAGCAGUGUGGCCCCUAUACGGAAUGAUUCAGAUAAAAGUCCAAUGAGUUCAAAGUGACUUCCUCCCAGCUGUUGCAUUUCUAGGUGGUCUCAUGGUUCAGCAUUCACUUCUCCUCGUCGGUGAAGAUUGGGCCCUGAACCGGCACUGGCAUAACCAACAUGCCUCCAAUGCGAAUAAAAUGUUUC